AACCCUGGCGGCGAGCGGCGAACGGGUGAGUAAUGCAUCGGAACGUGUCCUCUUGUGGGGGAUAACCAGUCGAAAGACUGGCUAAUACCGCAUGAGAUCGAGAGAUGAAAGCAAGGGACCGCAAGGCCUUGCGCGAGAGGAGCGGCCGAUGCCGGAUUAGCUAGUUGGUGGGGUAACGGCCUACCAAGGCGACGAUCCGUAGCUGGUCUGAGAGGACGACCAGCCACACUGGGACUGAGACACGGCCCAGACUUCCUACGGGAGGCAGCAGUGGGGAAUUUUGGACAAUGGGGGCAACCCUGAUCCAGCCAUGCCGCGUGUGUGAAGAAGGCCUUCUGGGUUGUAAAGCACUUUCGGACGGAACGAAAUCGCGCGAGUUAAUAGUUCGCGUGGAUGACGGUACCGUAAGAAGAAGCACCGGCUAACUACGUGCCAGCAGCCGCGGUAAUACGUAGGGUGCGAAGCGUUAAUUCGGAAUUACU
rnacentral:rRNA from 1 species